GUGAAUCAUCGAAUCUUUGAACGCACAUUGCGCCCAUUAGUAUUCUAGUGGGCAUGCCUAUUCGAGCGUCAUUUCAACCCUUAAGCCCUGUUGCUUAGCGUUGGGAAUCUGCAGCUUCGGCCGCAGUUCCUUAAAGUUAGUGGCGGAGUUAUAGCACACUCUAAGCGUAGUAGUUCAUGCCUCGCUUCUGGAGCGCCUGUAGCUGCCUGCCGUAAAACCCCCCAUACUUUUAGUGGUUGACCUCGGAUUAGGUAGGAAUACCCGCUGAACUUAAGCAUAUCAAUAAGCGGAGGA
rnacentral:misc_RNA from 1 species